rnacentral:tRNA from 1 species
AUAUCCGAGUAGUUGGAUAUAUAUGUUAUUUUCUAAAUAACUUUUGUGUUCAAAGAGUAAAUAGACGUUCGACUUGUUUCCGGACUUG